rnacentral:lncRNA from 1 species
GAGGAUUCCUACUGGAAAAUCAAAUCAAGGGUUAAAGGAAGUCAGGGAGGCAAAAGAGGAUGAGGAAAAGAGAAGCGAGGAGGUCAGACUGUUUGAUUCUCUUUCAAGCUGUGUGUUACUCCCUUCACACCUUUUCCAGUUAGAAUGCAUCUACCACCGAGAAGGAAGAUUUGUAAAUACGAGUCUCCUUUGAGAUCGUUUGGACCGGCAGAGCGUGAAAGUAUACACCUUAUGAACCCACAUACAACGGCU